rfam:Echinostoma caproni strain Egypt genome assembly, scaffold: ECPE_scaffold0042939
AAAACGGCCCUUUUAGGGCCACAUUAAUUUAAUUUAUUUGUCUAU